rnacentral:rRNA from 1 species
GACGUAGGGGGCCAGCGUUGUUCGGAAUUACUGGGCGUAAAGCGCACGUAGGCGGCUUUCUAAGUCGGGGGUGAAAUCCUGGAGCUCAACUCCAGAACUGCCUUCGAUACUGGAGAGCUUGAGUCCGGGAGAGGUGAGUGGAACUGCGAGUGUAGAGGUGAAAUUCGUAGAUAUCGGGAGGAACACCAGUGGCGAAGGCGGCAACCUGGACAGAUAUUGACGCUGAGGUGCGAAAGCGUGGGGAGCAAACAGG